AGAGAGAUGGCGGAGUGGUCUAUCGCGGCGGUCUUGAAAACCGUUGACUGUCAAAGGUCCGGGGGUUCGAAUCCCUCUCUCUCUG
rnacentral:tRNA from 1 species